AGUAAUAGGACUUUCACAAUCAGAUCUACCUAUACAGUAACGGUAUUUAAUUAUGAAACUUUGCUGGGUAGCUGACCCUCUUAGUCCGUUCUUGCCAGAGUGGGAGCCUGCCUAAUCUUUAUGUUUUAUGCUUUUUAAAUAAGAUUUCCUCCGCUUAAUGGAUAACCAUUUGUUACCAAUGGAGAAUUUCUUAUCAUCNNNN
rnacentral:lncRNA from 1 species